rnacentral:lncRNA from 1 species
AAAAGACUUUCAUAUCAGUUCUUUGCUUUUUUCUUCUAUUGUCCUCUCCAAAAAAAAAAGGAUUGAGAAUGCUUUAAAAGAUUUUUUAAAUUUUUUUGAUUAAUUUUUCAUAAAAUCUGCAAAUAAAACUUGCUCAAGUUACUUUUGAAUAUGAAUAACACAUUGCAACUGAAUUUGGGGGAGUGGAUUAAUUACUGUCCUAUAAUCUUUUGUGAUAUAUUUGUUCUUACAACACAUUUUUUUAUACUAUCAACUCCUACCACUUUAAAGCAAUUUUAUUGUUUUAUUGGCACGCAAUAUUUGUGAUGACUCAAUUUGUCUUUGCAGAGCUCAUUGAGCUUGACCCUAUUCAUGCAACUGACUUUCGAGUUCCCUCUGGUAAAACAUUUUUUCAUAGUCAUAGCUAACCUAUAUGUUUUUUGACAUAGUUUUCACAUGAUGGAUGAUAUAAUUCUAUGCUGAGAAAGGCGAUGGUGUGGCACAUUAUAUAAUUUUCAUUUAUAUAGUUGUUCAAACUCCUUUUUAUUUUGUUUCCUAUCUUAUGGAAAACUUAUUGUUGGACUAUAUCAGAUUGUACUAGCGACAAAGCUUGCUACUAAACCUGGGAGGCCACAAUCAAGACACUUUCAUAUGUUCAAGGAAGGUGUGUUUCAUUCUUACAUGUAAGUGAAGACACUUUCAUAUGUUCAAGGAUGGUGUAUUUCAUUCUUACAUGUACGUUGCAACAAAGAAAAACAUAUAGUGCUAAAGACAUCGACAAAAUUACUAAAUAAAACUUUGAAACUAUUUCUACAAAUUCUCCUGCC